rnacentral:tRNA from 1 species
CUCGCAGUCGCUCAGUGGUAGAGCUCCCGCUUCGUAUGCGGGAAGACCUGCGUUCGACUUCCGGCUGCUACC